AUACUUUCUGUAAAAGAGUUUGAUGACGAAGUUUAUGCGGAUCAAUGGCAGAACCAACUCCUUUGUAGCAAAUCAUUUAUCCGAGUCUCUACAAUGCUUGGCUAGCACAUUAAGACGUUGGAGAAGUGGCCAACCUUCAGAAUCCUGGGAGGCUCAUAAGGCAGCAAUCCAAGCACUCAUAAAGCUGCCUUCAGGCGAGCUUGUUACAGGUUCAAGUGAUACAACUUUAAAACUUUGGAGAGGAAGCAAAUGUACACAUACUUUUGUUGGGCAUACAGGUAUUUUUUCCAUUUAUUUGC